rnacentral:rRNA from 1 species
CCUACGGGAGGCAGCAGUGAGGAAUAUUGGUCAAUGGACGAGAGUCUGAACCAGCCAAGUAGCGUGAAGGAUGACUGCCCUAUGGGUUGUAAACUUCUUUUAUAUGGGAAUAAAAUGCUCCACGUGUGGGAUUUUGUAUGUACCAUAUGAAUAAGGAUCGGCUAACUCCGUGCCAGCAGCCGCGGUAAUACGGAGGAUCCGAGCGUUAUACGGAUUUAUUGGGUUUACAGGGAGCGUAGGUGGAUUGUUAAGUCAGUUGUGAAAGUUUGCGGCUCAACCGUGAAAUUGCAGUUGAAACUGGCAGUCUUGAGGGCAGUAGAGGUGGGCGGAAUUCGUGGUGUAGCGGUGAAAUGCUUAGAUAUCACGAAGAACUCCGGUUGCGAAGGCAGUUCACUGGACUGCAACUGACGCUGAGGCUCGAAAGUGUGGGUAUCAAACAGGAUUAGAUACCCCAGUAGUC